GACGAACGCUGGCGGCGUGCCUAAUACAUGCAAGUUGAGCGCUGAAGGUUGGUACUUGUACCAACUGGAUGAGCAGCGAACGGGUGAGUAACGCGUGGGGAAUCUGCCUUUGAGCGGGGGACAACAUUUGGAAACGAAUGCUAAUACCGCAUAAAAACUUUAAACACAAGUUUUAAGUUUGAAAGAUGCAAUUGCAUCACUCAAAGAUGAUCCCGCGUUGUAUUAGCUAGUUGGUGAGGUAAAGGCUCACCAAGGCGAUGAUACAUAGCCGACCUGAGAGGGUGAUCGGCCACAUUGGGACUGAGACACGGCCCAAACUCCUACGGGAGGCAGCAGUAGGGAAUCUUCGGCAAUGGACGAAAGUCUGACCGAGCAACGCCGCGGGAGUGAAGAAGGUUUUCGGAUCGUAAAACUCUGUUGGUAGAGAAGAACGUUGGUGAGAGUGGAAAGCUCAUCAAGUGACGGUAACUACCCAGAAAGGGGCGGCUAACUACGUG
rnacentral:rRNA from 1 species